GUGAAAUCCCCGGGCUCAACCUGGGAACUGCAUUCGAAACUGGCAGGCUUGAGUCUUGUAGAGGGGGGUAGAAUUCCAGGUGUAGCGGUGAAAUGCGUAGAGAUCUGGAGGAAUACCGGUGGCGAAGGCGGCCCCCUGGACAAAGACUGACGCUCAGGUGCGAAAGCGUGGGGAGCAAACAGGAUUAGAUACCCUGGUAGUCCACGCCGUAAACGAUGUCUACUUGGAGGUUGUGCCCUUGAGGCGUGGCUUCCGGAGCUAACGCGUUAAGUAGACCGCCUGGGGAGUACGGCCGCAAGGUUAAAACUCAAAUGAAUUGACGGGGGCCCGCACAAGCGGUGGAGCAUGUGGUUUAAUUCGAUGCAACGCGAAGAACCUUAC
rnacentral:rRNA from 3 species